AGAGUUUGAUCCUGGCUCAGAUUGAACGCUGGCGGCAUGCCUUACACAUGCAAGUCGAACGGCAGCACGGGAGCAAUCCUGGUGGCGAGUGGCGAACGGGUGAGUAAUAUAUCGGAACGUACCUUUCAGUGGGGGAUAACGUAGCGAAAGUUACGCUAAUACCGCAUAUUCUGUGAGCAGGAAAGCAGGGGAUCUUAGGACCUUGCGCUGAUUGAGCGGCCGAUAUCUGAUUAGCUAGUUGGUGAGGUAAAGGCUCACCAAGGCGACGAUCAGUAGCUGGUCUGAGAGGACGACCAGCCACACUGGAACUGAGACACGGUCCAGACUCCUACGGGAGGCAGCAGUGGGGAAUUUUGGACAAUGGGCGCAAGCCUGAUCCAGCAAUGCCGCGUGAGUGAAGAAGGCCUUCGGGUUGUAAAGCUCUUUUGUCAGGGAAGAAACGGUGAAGGCUAAUAUCCUUUGCUAAUGACGGUACCUGAAGAAUAAGCACCGGCUAACUACGUGCCAGCAGCCGCGGUAAUACGUAGGGUGCAAGCGUUAAUCGGAAUUACUGGGCGUAAAGCGUGCGCAGGCGGUUGUGUAAGACAGAUGUGAAAUGCCCGGGCUUAACCUGGGAACUGCAUUUGUGACUGCACGGCUAGAGUUUGGCAGAGGGGGGUAGAAUUCCACGUGUAGCAGUGAAAUGCGUAGAUAUGUGGAGGAAUACCGAUGGCGAAGGCAGCCCCCUGGGUCAAGACUGACGCUCAUGCACGAAAGCGUGGGGAGCAAACAGGAUUAGAUACCCUGGUAGUCCACGCCCUAAACGAUGUCUACUAGUUGUCGGGUCUUAAUUGACUUGGUAACGCAGCUAACGCGUGAAGUAGACCGCCUGGGGAGUACGGUCGCAAGAUUAAAACUCAAAGGAAUUGACGGGGACCCGCACAAGCGGUGGAUGAUGUGGAUUAAUUCGAUGCAACGCGAAAAACCUUACCUACCCUUGACAUGGAAGGAAUCCCGGAGAGAUCUGGGAGUGCCCGAAAGGGAACCUUUACACAGGUGCUGCAUGGCUGUCGUCAGCUCGUGUCGUGAGAUGUUGGGUUAAGUCCCGCAACGAGCGCAACCCUUGUCAUUCAUUAGUUGCUACGAAAGAGCACUCUAAUGAGACUGCCGGUGACAAACCGGAGGAAGGUGGGGAUGACGUCAAGUCCUCAUGGCCCUUAUGGGUAGGGCUUCACACGUCAUACAAUGGUACAUACAGAGGGCCGCCAACCCGCGAGGGGGAGCUAAUCCCAGAAAGUGUAUCGUAGUCCGGAUUGGAGUCUGCAACUCGACUCCAUGAAGUUGGAAUCGCUAGUAAUCGCGGAUCAGCAUGUCGCGGUGAAUACGUUCCCGGGUCUUGUACACACCGCCCGUCACACCAUGGGAGCGGGUUUUACCAGAAGUAGGUAGCUUAACCGCAAGGAGGGCGCUUACCACGGUAGGAUUCGUGACUGGGGUGAAGUCGUAACAAGGUAACC
rnacentral:rRNA from 1 species